rnacentral:rRNA from 1 species
GAUGAACGCUAGCGGCAGGCCUAAUACAUGCAAGUCGAACGGUGUCUUCGGACAUAGUGGCGCACGGGUGCGUAACACGUAUGCAACCUACCUUACAUUGGGGGAUAGCCUUUCGAAAGGGAGAUUAAUACCGCAUAAGACAGUAGCUGGGCAUCCAGCAGCUGUUAAAGAUUUAUCGAUGUAAGCUGGGCAUGCGUCCAAUUAGCUAGUUGGUGAGGUAACGGCUCACCAAGGCAAUGAUUGUUAGGGGAACUGAGACGUCAAUCCCCCACACUGGCCCUGAGAUACGGGCCAGACUCCUACGGGAGGCAGCAGUAGGGAAUAUUGGGCAAUGGACGCAAGUCUGACCCAGCCAUGCCGCGUGCAGGAUGAAGGCGUUAUGCGUUGUAAACUGCUUUUAUACAGGAAGAAACGACUCUUGCGAGAGGCAUUGACGGUACUGUAUGAAUAAGCACCGGCUAACUCCGUGCCAGCCGCCGCCGUAACAC